UACGUAGGGUGCAAGCGUUGUCCGGAAUUAUUGGGCGUAAAGAGCUCGUAGGCGGUUUGUCGCGUCUGCUGUGAAAACCCGAGGCUCAACCUCGGGCCUGCAGUGGGUACGGGCAGACUAGAGUGUGGUAGGGGAGACUGGAAUUCCUGGUGUAGCAGUGAAAUGCGUAGAUAUCAGGAGGAACACCCGAUGGCGAAAGGCAGGUCUCUGGGCUGGACACGUGACGCUCAUGCACGAAAGCGUGGGGAGCAAA
rnacentral:rRNA from 1 species